GUCUGGCUGGCUCAGUCGGAAAAGCGUGAGACUCUUGAUCUCAGGGUCAUGAGUUUGAGCCCCAUGUUGGGUG
rnacentral:tRNA from 1 species